GAGAAUGCAGGCAUGAGUAGCGAAAGCAGAGUGAGAAACUCUGCCGCCGGAUGACCAAGGGUUCCUGGGCCAGGCUAAUCCGCCCAGGGUGAGUCGGGACCUAAGGCGAGGCCGACAGGCGUAGUCGAUGGACAACGGGUUGAUAUUCCCGUACCCGUGUAUCCGCGCCCAUGCUGAAUCAUCUGUACUAACCAUCCAAAUCCCAAUGGACUGCCUUCGGGUAGCCGGCGGGGGCUGCAUGGGACCUCGGGUGGUAGUAGGCAAGCGAUGGGGUGACGCAGGAAGGUAGUGGGGCCAGGCGAUGGUUGUCCUGGUGUAAGCCUGUAGGACGAGGCAUUGGUAAAUCCGUGCUUCAGGUGUCUGAGAGGUGAUGCGUAACCGUUGUGGUGAAUUCCAUGAUCCUAUGCUGCCGAGAAAAGCCUCUAGUGAGUUGGUACACGGCCCGUACCCCAAACCAACACAGGUGGUCAGGUAGAGAAUACUAAGGCGAUCGAGAGAACUGUGGUUAAGGAACUCGGCAAAAUGCCCCCGUAACUUCGGGAGAAGGGGGACCCAUUCUGGUGACGACAUUUACUGUUUGAGCUGGUGUGGGUCGCAGAGACCAGAGAGAAGCGACUGUUUACUAAAAACACAGGUCCGUGCGAAGUCGUAAGACGAUGUAUACGGACUGACGCCUGCCCGGUGCUGGAAGGUUAAGAGGACCGGUUAAUGCCCUUCGGGGUGUGAAGCUGAGAAUUUAAGCCCCAGUAAACGGCGGUGGUAACUAUAACCAUCCUAAGGUAGCGAAAUUCCUUGUCGGGUAAGUUCCGACCUGCACGAAUGGCGUAACGACUUCUCUGCUGUCUCAACCACAGACUCGGCGAAAUUGCAGUACGAGUAAAGAUGCUCGUUACGCGCGGCAGGACGAAAAGACCCCGGGACCUUCACUAUAGCUUGGUAUUGGUGUUCGGUUCGGUUUGUGUAGGAUAGGUGGGAGACUGUGAAGUGGCCACGCCAGUGGUUGUGGAGUCGUUGUUGAAAUACCACUCUGAUCGUAUUGGACUUCUAACCUCGGACCCUGAUCGGGUUCAGGGACAGUGCCUGGUGGGUAGUUUAACUGGGGCGGUUGCCUCCUAAAAGGUAACGGAGGCGCCCAAAGGUUCCCUCAGCCUGGUUGGCAAUCAGGUGGUGAGUGUAAGUGCACAAGGGAGCUUGACUGUGAGACGUACAUGUCGAGCAGGGACGAAAGUCGGGACUAGUGAUCCGGCACCAACGUGUGGAAGUGGUGUCGCUCAACGGAUAAAAGGUACCCCGGGGAUAACAGGCUGAUCUUCCCCAAGAGUCCAUAUCGACGGGAUGGUUUGGCACCUCGAUGUCGGCUCGUCGCAUCCUGGGGCUGGAGUAGGUCCCAAGGGUUGGGCUGUUCGCCCAUUAAAGCGGCACGCGAGCUGGGUUUAGAACGUCGUGAGACAGUUCGGUCUCUAUCCGCCGCGCGCGUUAGAAACUUGAGGAAACCUGUCCCUAGUACGAGAGGACCGGGACGGACGAACCUCUGGUGUGCCAGUUGUUCCGCCAGGAGCAUUGCUGGUUGGCUACGUUCGGAAGGGAUAACCGCUGAAAGCAUCUAAGCGGGAAGCCUGUUCCAAGAUGAGGUUUCUCACCACCAUUGAGUGGUUAAGGCCCCCCACAGACCAUGGGGUUGAUAGGCCAGAACUGGAAGCCCAGUAAUGGGUGUAGGUGACUGGUACUAAUCGGCCGAGGACUUACAACAACAUCCU
rnacentral:rRNA from 1 species